AUGCUCGACAUCCAGAAGCGGCGCGUCCAGCUUCUGCUCUUCGUCGCCGGCGUGCUCGCCCUCAGCAUGACAGCUGAGAAGUGCAGGGAACUUGUCGGAAAGGAGGCUGCAUCAAAGAGUGGGGAGUUCACACUCAUGAACUGUUUUGAUAUGGGGUCAGGCAGCCUUGCAUGCGCGGGGAAGGAGGGGGUGAAGCUGUAUGUGAACAACCUCCGAAGCGCACACAUGGAAAACGUGCGGCAGCGAGCCAUCGAGAAAGCGUUGGCUGAUGCUGUGAUAGAAGGCCUGAGUCCCGCUGAGGCAGCCAAGCAAGCUCAGAAGGUCGGGGCAAAAGCGACGAAGGUGGCCGCUCGUCAAGCGAAGAGGAUAUUGGGACCGAUAAUUUCCUCUGGCUGGGACUUCUUCGAGGCAAUGUACUUUGGCGGAAGCAUGACUGAAGGAUUUCUACGGGGCACGGGCACCUUAUUCGGAACCUAUGCGGGUGGUUUCCAUGGCGAGGAGAGGCUGGGAAAGCUUGGCUAUCUCGUUGGAAGCCAGCUAGGCAGCUGGGUUGGGGGAAGAAUCGGACUGAUGGUUUACGAUGUCAUCAACGGGUUGAACUACAUGCUUGAGUUUGUCCGUCCAGAGGAGUACCGAUCAUCAUCUUAUUAUGACUCAGAAGAGGGCUCAGAGUAUGCAGAUAACUACAGAAGUGGCGAAGUUUAUGAGCCAACAUACAGUGAGACGCCAGAAGAGGCGCAGGAGGAGGAAUCGGGGGGUUUCAGCCUGUUUUGA
rnacentral:rRNA from 1 species